rnacentral:rRNA from 1 species
GACGAACGCUGGCGGCGUGCUUAACACAUGCAAGUCGAACGGAAAGGCCCUGCUUUUGUGGGGUGCUCGAGUGGCGAACGGGUGAGUACCCCGUGGUUAACCUCCCCUUACCUUUGGAAUACCUUCAGAAACCUGGGCCAAUUCCCGGAUGGAGCCUCCUGCUCCUUGUUGGGGGUUGGAAAGUUUCGGCGGUUGGGGAUGGACUCGCGGCUUAUCAGCUUGUUGGUGGGGUGGUGGCUUACCAAGGCUUUGACGGGUAGCCGGCCUGAGAGGGUGACCGGCCACAUUGGGACUGAGAUACGGCCCAGACUCCUACGGGAGGCAGCAGUGGGGAAUAUUGCGCAAUGGGCGGAAGCCUGAUGCAGCAACGCCGCGUGCGGGAUGACGGCCUUCGGGUUGUAAACCGCUUUCGCCUGUGACGAAGCGUGAGUGACGGUAAUGGGUAAAGAAGCACCGGCUAACUACGUG